AAUAUGGUGAAACAGACGACUGGAUAAGUGAAUUUCAGUAGGCAAGGCUGACCACCCACCUUGAAUUUCUUUCAACUUCUACUCAGCCAGCUCGGAAGAGCACAC